rnacentral:rRNA from 1 species
UAGCGUAUAUUAAAGUUGUUGCCGUUAAAAAGCUCGUAGUCGAACUUCGGCGCCUGAUGGCCGGUCCGCCUUCUUGGUGUGUACUUGCUCAUCGGGCGCUUACCUCCUGGUGAACUCUGAUGUCCUUUAUUGGGUGUCAGAGCAAACCAGGACGUUUACUUUGAAAAAAUUAGAGUGUUCAAAGCAGGCCUACGCCCGAAUACAUUAGCAUGGAAUAAUAGAAUAGGACGCGCGUUCCCAUUUUGUUG